rnacentral:rRNA from 1 species
AUUGAACGCUGGCGGCAUGCCUUACACAUGCAAGUCGAACGGCAGCAUGAUCUAGCUUGCUAGAUUGAUGGCGAGUGGCGAACGGGUGAGUAAUACAUCGGAACGUGCCCUGUAGUGGGGGAUAACUAGUCGAAAGAUUAGCUAAUACCGCAUACGACCUGAGGGUGAAAGUGGGGGACCGCAAGGCCUCAUGCUAUAGGAGCGGCCGAUGUCUGAUUAGCUAGUUGGUGAGGUAAAGGC